GGCUUUAUAGUCAAUAUAUGAUAUUAGACUGCAAUUCUAGAGUAGUAUUGUUAUACUAAAGCUU
rnacentral:tRNA from 1 species